CGUGCUACUUCUGAAAAUAACAAUAAAAAAAUUGCAAUUUGUCUUGUGCCUAAUUACACCGACGUGUGUGCUGUUUUAUAAUGUUUUGUGUCAUAGAGAAUGAAAGAAGGAUGGGAUGAUGGAGGCAACAUAGCUUUUGCAGUUAUUCUUUUGUUAUCGGGACAGAACGAGGAAGAGAGAAACAUAUAUCAGGAGAGGUGAGUAAUGCAAAGGGGAUAAGAGGUGGUAGACGAGUUGAAAUUUCAAUGUAUGAAAUUGUGGUGGGUGAUGACGUUCUCCCAACAUUGGUUGCUUUAUAUGGAGAGCAGUGAAGAUUACAUUAUAGCUUUGUUUAAUAGAAUGUGAUCCCUAUGGACCACGAAUGAGAGAUAUUUAGUUUAGUUGAGUCAGAUGGAUGGCGUGAAGGGGAUAAGACGUGGCGAGUUGCAACAUUGUGGUGGAUGAUGCCGGGCUCCUCAAUGUUGGUAAUAUGGUUCGAGGAUUGUCGAAUUUUCCAAAGACAAACGUAGAGAAAGGUAUCCAUGGUGAUGAGGAUGAUAUUUUAAAUCGUAAGAAUACCUAUCCUCGUAAGAAAGGGAAAGAUUUUCUGGUAUAGGAAGUUCUUACUAAUUUUGGUGGCCUUUUGAGUUGCGUUUUUCUUGCUAUGUUUCCUGACUAAACAAUCGAGUUCUCAUUUAAAGUGACAAAGUGUUCUGUAGGACGCUUGCCAAGAUCUCACUUUGAUAAUUGUGAUGGUCGCAGCAGUAGCAUUUUUAGUGCUCAGGAUUAAAACAGAGCUGUGCUGCCUCUGACAACAAUAUAAAAAAUUCUAAUCGUCUUUACGUUGUUUGUCGUAUCGUGUCAAUGCUUAUUUCAACCUACGGUGUUUACCUCUUGCUGUUUUCUAAUGUUUUGUAUUACCAUUGUCUAUAGGGAAUCAAAGAAGGACGGUAUGGUGCAGGUCGCAUUGUAUUUGCAUUUGCAGUCAUUCUUGUUGUAGUUGUUUUUGCUGUCAUCGUGACAAGUAUUAUGAUUGUGGAUAGCGGUUAUGAACAUUAUCUUCUUUCUAUUUCAUGUUUGCAGCAAUAAGUGACUUCAAAUGCUCUCUGCAGUUUCAAAACCCAAACGAGGGAAAAAGACACAUCUGGAGGUCCGUACUUGCUGUUUUUUUACCAUUUCUGUAAACUGCAUUAUGUUGUUUCCUUUUGUGUACACUUUAUACAGGUAAGUAAUGCAGAGGGGAUAAGAGGCGGUAGCCGAGUUGAAAAUUCAAUAUAUGACAUUGUGGUGGGUCAUUUCGGGCCCCCAAUAAUAGAAUCUGGUCACUGAGAGAUGCUAUUCCUUUUGUUUAUUGUUUCUUGAUAUGUCAUAUUUAUCUGUAACAUAUAUAGACUUUGCUGUAUAGAAAAUCUUGUGUAGGUUCCAGAAGAUGGGGUAUUAAUAUCUGGCCACUCGCUUGCCCUUGAUGGGUCUAGCAUGACUGGGGAGAUCAAAAGCUUGCAUUUGUUGCCAAUGAUAGUGAUGUUGGUGUUCAUCUCAUAAUCUGCUUUGUGAUUUGAUGAUU